rnacentral:tRNA from 1 species
UAGGGUGUAGCUCAGUGGUAGAGUGCUUGCCUAAUAUGACACCUAGUCUAAUCUGCCAGUGCCAUGACAUUGGCAUGUGUGAGACCCUGGGUUUGAUCCCCAGCACUGAAA